GAUGAACGCUGGCGGCGUGCUUAACACAUGCAAGUCGAGCGAAGCACUUGCCAUUGACUCUUCGGAAGAUUUGGCAUUUGACUGAGCGGCGGACGGGUGAGUAACGCGUGGGUAACCUGCCUCAUACAGGGGAAUAACAGUUAGAAAUGGCUGCUAAUGCCGCAUAAGCGCACAGGACCGCAUGGUCUGGUGUGAAAAACUGAGGUGGUAUGAGAUGGGCCCGCGUCUGAUUAGGUAGUUGGCGGGGUAACGGCCCACCAAGCCGACGAUCAGUAGCCGACCUGAGAGGGUGACCGGCCACAUUGGGACUGAGACACGGCCCAGACUCCUACGGGAGGCAGCAGUGGGGAAUAUUGCACAAUGGAGGAAACUCUGAUGCAGCGACGCCGCGUGAAGGAAGAAGUAUCUCGGUAUGUAAACUUCUAUCAGCAGGGAAGAAAAUGACGGUACCUGACUAAGAAGCCCCGGCUAACUACGUGCCAGCAGCCGCGGUAAUACGUAGGGGGCAAGCGUUAUCCGGAUUUACUGGGUGUAAAGGGAGCGUAGACGGACGGGCAAGUCUGAUGUGAAAGCCCGGGGCUUAACCCCGGGACUGCAUUGGAAACUGUCCAUCUUGAGUGCCGGAGAGGUAAGCGGAAUUCCUAGUGUAGCGGUGAAAUGCGCAGAUAUUAGGAGGAACACCAGUGGCGAAGGCGGCUUACUGGACGGUAACUGACGUUGAGGCUCGAAAGCGUGGGGAGCAC
rnacentral:rRNA from 1 species